AACGAACGCUGGCGGCAUGCCUAACACAUGCAAGUCGAACGAUCCCUUCGGGGAUAGUGGCGCACGGGUGCGUAACGCGUGGGAACCUGCCCUUAGGUUCGGAAUAACUCAGAGAAAUUUGAGCUAAUACCGGAUAAUGUCUUCGGACCAAAGAUUUAUCGCCUUUGGAUGGGCCCGCGUUGGAUUAGCUAGUUGGUGGGGUAAAGGCCUACCAAGGCGACGAUCCAUAGCUGGUCUGAGAGGAUGAUCAGCCACACUGGGACUGAGACACGGCCCAGGCUCCUACGGGAGGCAGCAGUGGGGAAUAUUGGACAAUGGGCGAAAGCCUGAUCCAGCAAUGCCGCGUGAGUGAUGAAGGCCUUAGGGUUGUAAAGCUCUUUUACCCGGGAUGAUAAUGACAGUACCGGGAGAAUAAGCCCCGGCUAACUCCGUG
rnacentral:rRNA from 1 species